rnacentral:rRNA from 1 species
GACGAACGUUGGCGGCGUGCUUAACACAUGCAAGUCGAACGGUAAGGCUCCAGCUUGCUGGGGUACACGAGUGGCGAACGGGUGAGUAACACGUGGGUGACCUGCCCUGCACUUCGGGAUAAGCCUGGGAAACUGGGUCUAAUACCGGAUAGGACCGCACCGUGAGGGUGUGGUGGAAAGUUUUUUCGGUGUGGGAUGGGCCCGCGGCCUAUCAGCUUGUUGGUGGGGUAAUGGCCUACCAAGGCGGCGACGGGUAGCCGGCCUGAGAGGGUGGACGGCCACAUUGGGACUGAGACACGGCCCAGACUCCUACGGGAGGCAGCAGUGGGGAAUAUUGCACAAUGGGCGGAAGCCUGAUGCAGCGACGCCGCGUGGGGGAUGACGGCCUUCGGGUUGUAAACUCCUUUCACCAUCGACGAAGGGUUUCUGACGGUAGAUGGAGAAGAAGCACCGGCUAACUACGUGCCAGCAGCCGCGGUAAUACGUAGGGUGCGAGCGUUGUCCGGAAUUACUGGGCGUAAAGAGCUCGUAGGUGGUUUGUCGCGUCGUCUGUGAAAUUCCGGGGCUUAACUCCGGGCGUGCAGGCGAUACGGGCAUAACUUGAGUACUGUAGGGGAGACUGGAAUUCCUGGUGUAGCGGUGAAAUGCGCAGAUAUCAGGAGGAACACCGGUGGCGAAGGCGGGUCUCUGGGCAGUAACUGACGCUGAGGAGCGAAAGCAUGGGGAGCGAACAGGAUUAGAUACCCUGGUAGUCCAUGCCGUAAACGGUGGGCGCUAGGUGUGGGUUUCCUUCCACGGGAUCCGUGCCGUAGCUAACGCAUUAAGCGCCCCGCCUGGGGAGUACGGCCGCAAGGCUAAAACUCAAAGGAAUUGACGGGGGCCCGCACAAGCGGCGGAGCAUGUGGAUUAAUUCGAUGCAACGCGAAGAACCUUACCUGGGCUUGACAUAUACAGGAUCGCGCCAGAGAUGGUGUUUCCCUUGUGGCUUGUAUACAGGUGGUGCAUGGUUGUCGUCAGCUCGUGUCGUGAGAUGUUGGGUUAAGUCCCGCAACGAGCGCAACCCUUGUCUUAUGUUGCCAGCACGUUGUGGUGGGGAUUCGUAAGAAACUGCCGGGGUUAACUCGGAGGAAGGUGGGGAUGACGUCAAAUCAUCAUGCCCCUUAUGUCCAGGGCUUCACACAUGCUACAAUGGUCGGUACAGUGGGUUGCCAGUCCGUGAGGGCGAGCUAAUCCCGCAAAGCCGGUCUCAGUUCGGAUCGGGGUCUGCAACUCGACCCCGUGAAGUCGGAGUCGCUAGUAAUCGCAGAUCAGCAACGCUGCGGUGAAUACGUUCCCGGGCCU